ACUCUCCAUUUCAGGAGCACCAGAAGAACAGAGGAAGUUCCCCUUGCCAGAACCAGAAGCCUAAAAAUGCCUUCCAGGCACUGGAAAAACAAUAUUGUUGGAAUAUUGUUGUUUGCUUGGGGCUUUAACCACCAAGUCUGAAGUUCAGAGGCCAGAUUUGGCAUGAAGGGUGUCCAGCAACAAGUUUCUUUCCUUCCCCAGAAUAAGCUGUUAGAGGACAAGUGGAGCUCAGCAGUGAGGAGUUGGUGGUGUUGUUUUCCACUUGGUUUCAAGUUCUGCACACAAAGCUAGAGCAGGUUGCUGAGAAACCCUGUCAUCUGCAAACAAAGACAGCUCCUGCAGGAUGGAGUGUGUGCAGAAUGUAAAGAGGGAGGUGUCUGUAGGCAGCCUACAGAAGAUUGCCACGUUGCUGCCAUGCACACAAAAAGUUCCUGACUUUUGGUACCAGGCUCACCACCCUGACAGGCAACCUGGCUGCACUGAAGAAAAAGAAAGGAUCCUUGCUUCAAAGAAGAAUUCAGUGCAACAAUUGAACUUCCAAGCUAUAAGAAGGGCUAAACCAGGUCAGAUGAGCAGAACAGGAGGAAAGUGAUGAUUGGCUGCAAGUGGACUGAACGUGAGGAUUCUGGGAGACAAGAGCAGAAGAUCCAAUGGAACCGAUGCUCCUUAUGUUCCUUGAGAGUGAGAAGUAUUAUGGUCAAACUGACACGGGAAGGUUUUUGCAUCAUGUUUUGGUUAAAACUUCCAUUCCCAUCGGAGGAAGGCGCUGGCUGGCUCCGCUUCCCGCCCCAGGGGGAUGUGCCUGCGGUGAUCGGCGCGGUGCCCAGGGAAUAGGAUCGGGACCGGGACGGCGCCUCACUGUUCCCGGCCCGCAGUGCGGCGGCACCCGGGAUGGCCCGGGAUCCUUCGGUCACAUCCAGGGUGAGAGAGGCCGGGCUGGGGCGGAUCGGUGCCCUGCGCCAUCCGGGAGCGCAGCCAUCCCCUGCUUUUUCUGGAAAUCGCUGAGGGUUUCUGGCCGCUGUUUAAAAUAACAAAAAAAGAGAGAAUGACACUACUCCUGCAGAGGAGAGCGGUGAAUCACGCCGUGCGCCCCCAGGCUGUCUGUCACGGGGGGAUGGAGGGGCCUCGGGCCGUGCCCCGUCCCCUUUGCCGCCCCACCCGCGUUCUCCGCGCUGAACUUUACCCGACUUCUCAGCCCCUCUCCGCCAGCCCUCGGGCCCGCCCAUCUGAUGCAUAUUCAUGAGGGGCCACGCCCGAGCCUGCCCUUCAUUGGCUGCUCCUAGCGAUAUCCCGCUCCCA